rnacentral:rRNA from 1 species
AGAGUUUGAUCCUGGCUCAGAGUGAACGCUGGCGGCGUGCCUAAUACAUGCAAGUCGAACGAUGAAGCUUCUAGCUUGCUAGAGUGCUGAUUAGUGGCGCACGGGUGAGUAACGCAUAGGUCAUGUGCCUCUUAGUUUGGGAUAGCCAUUGGAAACGAUGAUUAAUACCAGAUACUCCCUACGGGGGAAAGAUUUAUCGCUAAGAGAUCAGCCUAUGUCCUAUCAGCUUGUUGGUAAGGUAAUGGCUUACCAAGGCUAUGACGGGUAUCCGGCCUGAGAGGGUGAACGGACACACUGGAACUGAGACACGGUCCAGACUCCUACGGGAGGCAGCAGUAGGGAAUAUUGCUCAAUGGGGGAAACCCUGAAGCAGCAACGCCGCGUGGAGGAUGAAGGUUUUAGGAUUGUAAACUCCUUUUGUUAGAGAAGAUAAUGACGGUAUCUAACGAAUAAGCACCGGCUAACUCCGUGCCAGCAGCCGCGGUAAUACGGAGGGUGCAAGCGUUACUCGGAAUCACUGGGCGUAAAGAGCGCGUAGGCGGGAUAGUCAGUCAGGUGUGAAAUCCUAUGGCUUAACCAUAGAACUGCAUUUGAAACUACUAUUCUAGAGUGUGGGAGAGGUAGGUGGAAUUCUUGGUGUAGGGGUAAAAUCCGUAGAGAUCAAGAGGAAUACUCAUUGCGAAGGCGACCUGCUGGAACAUUACUGACGCUGAUUGCGCGAAAGCGUGGGGAGCAAACAGGAUUAGAUACCCUGGUAGUCCACGCCCUAAACGAUGGAUGCUAGUUGUUGGAGGGCUUAGUCUCUCCAGUAAUGCAGCUAACGCAUUAAGCAUCCCGCCUGGGGAGUACGGUCGCAAGAUUAAAACUCAAAGGAAUAGACGGGGACCCGCACAAGCGGUGGAGCAUGUGGUUUAAUUCGAAGAUACACGAAGAACCUUACCUAGGCUUGACAUUGAGAGAAUCCGCUAGAAAUAGUGGAGUGUCUAGCUUGCUAGACCUUGAAAACAGGUGCUGCACGGCUGUCGUCAGCUCGUGUCGUGAGAUGUUGGGUUAAGUCCCGCAACGAGCGCAACCCCCUUUCUUAGUUGCUAACAGGUCAUGCUGAGAACUCUAAGGAUACUGCCUCCGUAAGGAGGAGGAAGGUGGGGACGACGUCAAGUCAUCAUGGCCCUUACGCCUAGGGCUACACACGUGCUACAAUGGGGUGCACAAAGAGAAGCAAUACUGCGAAGUGGAGCCAAUCUUCAAAACACCUCUCAGUUCGGAUUGUAGGCUGCAACUCGCCUGCAUGAAGCUGGAAUCGCUAGUAAUCGCAAAUCAGCCAUGUUGCGGUGAAUACGUUCCCGGGUCUUGUACUCACCGCCCGUCACACCAUGGGAGUUGUGUUUGCCUUAAGUCAGGAUGCUAAAUUGGCUACUGCCCACGGCACACACAGCGACUGGGGUGAAGUCGUAACAAGGUAACCGUAGGUGAACCUGCGGUUG